UUUUUCAAUUUCUAAUUAACCUUACUACAUAUUGCAUUUUCUUUGAGUAUAGCAUAGCCUAUAUAGGGCUCACAUGAAGCAAUCACAAUCAAUAAAUCAUAUUAUAUAGCUAAAAUUGAUCCUACAAUACGUUGAAUCAAUGAAAAAAUAUGUUGUCACCUAUUGGUUCACAUUCUAUAAAUAACUUUGCCACGACCAAACAAUAUUAUUUCUCUUUUGUGUUUUUUUCUUUUCUUAUCAUGAAAGGUCAAAAUAAUGAAUAUUUGGUAAAAUAAAAUAGAAAAAAUUAUUAUAAAAUCACAUUCUAUUUUUUACAUGCAAAAGGGGAGAAACAUGUCUAAACUUGUCAAGUUUAUUUAUGUUGUAAUUAUGCUUGUUACCCUAUUUCUUGUUGCAAAAGAAGUUGAUUCGGGUGUUCUUUGUAAUGGAGAUGUCGAUUGUCCACAGACUAUAUGUAAUCGAUUUUCUAAUUUUAAUCCAAGGUGUAAUUUAGGUUAUUGUAUAUGUGUCAGAAUGAUGACAUAGAUUAUGAUAGCAAAAAUAUUAUUUAUAGAUUCUUUUCUCUCUUAAUUUUAAAGAUAUUUCAAUGGGCUGCAAUUUAGACAUAUUGCAUUUUCUUUUCAACCUUACUAAAUAUAAGUGUAUCAAUAAUGGCUAUGUUGAAAAAUUAUUUCUAUCUCAACAGUAUUGUUACACUUAUAAUUUUUUUAAUAUUUUUUUAUAUUUGUUUUAGUAUUUUUUAUAAUGUUUAUGUUUGUGUUUAUAUUGGGUUCAUUUUUGUUUAGCAUGUACUCCUUAUUCAAUUGGGCUUAUUUUUAUUGGGUCCAGUUCGGUUAAUCAAGUUCCAUUUCUUUAUUUAACAUUUUGAUUUAUUUUUAAUAAACUUGGUUCAUGUUGAUGCAAAAGAAUUGAUAAAAAAUAAAAAAAUAAAAAAAAAACAUUGAUACAAGAGAAUAUACCCAUUAUUUUGUUUUGUUACAUAUUGUUUGCUAGCUGACUUAAAAAGAAAAUAUUUAAUCAAAGUUGUUGAAUGUAUUUGUUUAUGCAAAUUUUAAUUAUGUUAGUAGUAAAUUAAGUUACUUAAAGUAUAAUUUAGUCUCUAAGUGAGACUAUAACACAUUAUUUAUUAACCAUUGAUACACAAUAUUAAUAUAUGUCUAUUUUUUUUUUGAAACAUUUAUUAUAUGUCUAAUUGAUACUGUAAUUUUGUUUUUAAAUGCUGCUACAACUAAAUAGUAAGUACAAUAAAUUGUAAAUUCUAAGGGUUAAAUAUAUUUUUUAUCCCUCUAAAUAUACAAACUUUCAUUUUUAGUCCUUUUAAAAAAUUUCAUUGAAUGAAAAUGAUCCCCCUAAAAUUUUCUGUCUUCAAAAUUGAAAGGUGGUAUUUCACGACUUAAAAGAGAAUCGUUAUAAAUAAUUAUUAGUAUUUUGAUUUAAUAUAUUUUUAUAUUAAAGUGUAAUAAAAGCUAUAAUAAAUUAACUAUAAACAAAAUGUGUGUGUGGGGGAGGCACUCGGGUGAGAACACUUUGUUAUUGUGAGAAAUAAAAUUGAUUAUAUCGUUUGAUUAAAAAAUAUAACAUGCUCUCAAAAAAAAAAAUUUGAAUUCUUAUGAUUGGCGAAUAUUUUUUAUCCGGCCUCCUUACUUAGUAUGCUAAAGGGGCAAUAACAUCAUAUUGGUGCACUUAAGAGACAUUUAAUAAUGAUUCAAUUUUUAUUUUUUUUUUAAAUCUUUUUAUAAUUCUAUAAGUGUUAAAAAUAAUUAUUUAACUGAUGUAAUGAGAGCACUAUCUUUAUAAAUUAUAAAGGGAUAAAAUCACAUUCUAUUUGUCACAUGAAAAUGGAGGAAAACAGGGCUAAAACUUUCAAGUUUGUUUAUGGUAUGGUUAUCUUUCUUUACCUAUAUCAUGUUGCAAAAAGAGUUGAAGCGGCUAUUCCAUGUAUUACUGAUGCUAAUUGUCCAUGUGUGUUUCCUCUUAAACCAAGAUGUAACUUUGGCUAUUGUAUAUGUGAGGAAAUGAUUCCAUAGUUUCUAUGAGCACCAAACCCAAGAGAGUACAUAAGUAUCAAGUUAGAAUAUUUUAUGUGUUGUUGUUAUUUAGUUGCAAUGUUGCCACCCAAUAAAUUAGAUUUUUUUAAUUCUUUAUCUUUAAUUUCAAAAACCUUUAUAGUUUUACCUUUGUACUCUAAGAUGAUAGUAAAUAAAUGAAACAAUGUAAUAGAAAAAUAUUAUUUAUAGAUUGUCUUCUUCUCUUUUAAUUUCUAAGA